UUUUGUCUUCGCGGAGGUGCGGGCAGCGUUGUUUGUCCCCAUCUGACACGAUAUUCAUAAUCUUUUGAGCACACCUCUAUUUAGCAUCUUUCCUUUGGCUGUGUUAUCCUGUGUGUCAACCCUGCCUUUUCCCUCUGCUAGUGUAUACCCAGACAACAAGAAGCAGAGAGAGUUAAUAAUAAAGAUCCACAACAAGUCUCUCGGAGCCAGACAAUACUGUAUACAGAAAGACCAGAAUAAAUGUAAAGGAGAAGAUUCAGAUGCUGAAUUUGAUGAAACAGCAACUUUUAAAUAAUCAUUAGCAGGAGAAGGCAAAAAAAGAA